UAGUCCACGCCGUAAACGAUGGAUACUAGCUGUCCGGGCGCAAGCCUGGGCGGCCAAGCGAAAGUGAUAAGUAUCCCACCUGGGGAGUACGUCCGCAAGGAUGAAACUCAAAGGAAUUGACGGGGGCCCGCACAAGCGGUGGAGCAUGUGGUUUAAUUCGAUGAUACGCGAGGAACCUUACCAGGGCUUAAAUGUGGUCUGACAGCUUUAGAGAUAGAGUUUCCUUCGGGCAGAUCACAAGGUGCUGCAUGGUUGUCGUCAGCUCGUGCCGUGAGGUGUCAGGUUAAGUCCUAUAACGAGCGCAACCCCUGCCGUUAGUUGCCAGCAUGUAAUGAUGGGGACUCUAACGGGACUGCCGGUGCAAACCGCGAGGAAGGUGGGGAUGACGUCAAGUCAGCAUGCCCCUUAUGCUCUGGGCUACACACGUGCUACAAUGGCCGUGACAAAGAGUUGCUACUUUGUGAAAACAAGCUAAUCUCAUAAACGCGGCCUCAGUUCGG
rnacentral:rRNA from 1 species